rnacentral:rRNA from 1 species
UUUCCGUAGGUGAACCUGCGGAAGGAUCAUUGUCGAAACCUUGUGGCAGAAUGACUUGUUAACUUGUAAAACACCGGCGCAGCAGCGCCAAGGAAUUUCGUAAAUGAGAAUGCUACCUCGCAGAGCUCAUCUCCACUGCUUGUGAGGUUGGCGUCUUUUUUAUAAUAAUGACUCUCGGCAAUGGAUAUCUCGGCUCUUGCAUCGAUGAAGAACGUAGCGAAAUGCGAUACUUGGUGUGAAUUGCAGAAUCCCGCGAACCAUCGAAACUUUGAACGCAAGUUGCGCCUUAAGCCAUUAGGUUGAGGGCACGUUUGCUUGGGUGUCAUGCAUAAUGUCUCCCUCCCGUGUGUUGGGUUGGGAGUGGAUCGUGGCCUCCUGGGCCCAUCCUGGGGUGUGGUUGGCCGAAAAUAUUGUCCGUGAGUUUGUGAUGUCUGGCGUGCGGUGGAUGUACAGAGUGUGCAUAAUGGCUUGCCCUGCUCGACUUCAUUGUGGCGUGAGAUCCUUUGAAGCUGUCGGUGUUGGCUCUUUGAUUGCGACCCCAAGUCAGGCGAGACUACCCGCUGAGUUUAA